rnacentral:rRNA from 1 species
GACAGAGGAGCCAAGCGUUGUCCGGAUUGACUGGGCGUAAAGCGCACGCAGGCGGCCCGGCGCGUGGGGGGGGAAAGCUGGCGGCUUAACUGCCAGACGCCAUCCCAUACGGCUGGGCUCGAGCCCUGCAGAGGUCCAUGGAAUUGCCGGUGUAGUGGUGAAAUGCGUAGAGAUCGGCAGGAACACCCAGGGGGAAACCAGUGGACUGGGCAGGAGCUGACGCUCAGGUGCGAAAGCGUGGGGAGCGAACCGG